rnacentral:rRNA from 1 species
GAUGAACGCUGGCGGCGUGCCUAAUACAUGCAAGUCGAGCGAAGCGGGGACGGGGGAGUAACACGUGGAUAACCUCCUAUAAUACUGGGGUAAGUUCGGGAAACCGGAGCUAAACCGGAUUCUUAUAGCUGGAGCCGCGCUGCAUUAGCUAGUUGGUAAGUUAACGGCUUACCAAGGCAACGAUGCAUAGCCGACCUGAGAGGGUGAUAGUCGACACUGGAACUGGGACACGGUCCAGACUCCUACGGUAGGCAGCAGGAGGGAGUCGUGCGCAAUGGGCGAAAUCCUGACGGAGGCACGCCGCGUGAGUGAUGAAGGUCUUGGGAGCGUAAAACUCUGUUAUUAGGGAAGCGGUACUUAAUCAGAAAGCCACGGCUAACUACGUGCCAGCAGCCGCGGUAAUUC